rnacentral:lncRNA from 1 species
UGGCAAUUCAAAUUUGAGACAUUUAAAUAGGUCAUUAGACUUGUAAAAAAUCUUAGAAGUGAAGUUGAGAGUAUUUUUGAAAAUAAGAAUACUAGUUUGUUCACAAAAAAAGAUUCUAUGAUUCUAAAGCAGUAAUACUUUCUUGCUGAUUUUGAAAGUAUUAGGACUUCUUUCAAUUUUUUUUUUGAUACGUCUCUCCCUUCAACAUGGCUUCAAAUCAGGGUGAAGAAUUGAGAGUAAUUGAAAAAUUUAGAGGUGAAAUUUUUUACCAUUGGAAGAUAAAAAUAGAGCUUUUGUUGACAUCUUUGGAUCUAUGAAAUAUUGUAGAUGAAAGUGAAGAGGCUCCAAGUAUAGAUGCUGAUAUGAAGGAGAAGAAAGAGUUCAAAUGUCGUAUAAAGAAGGCUUUUGAAUUGAUUGUA